rnacentral:piRNA from 1 species
UAAACUGAUACAAAAAUAUAU